CCUGAGAAAUGAGAAAAGCCUAUAAUCAACCGCUGCAGGAGGUUUACACUUUUGUCCUACUAAAUGGAUCUGUAUUUUUGGUACUUCAUCUCUUUGGUACAGACAGCCGGAGAAGUAGGCGGAGAAGCACUAUCACAGGGGGAAGACCAGGAACCGACAGAGAGGCAGCCGCUUCUGUCGAACGAGGAGCCAGGUCCAUCAAGCGACCCAUAAAUGCUGGCAGACUUUGAUGGUUUACACAACAAAGUGUUGAGAAAUUCUACGUGAGCUUUAUUCAGAAAUAAUACUGAGCUUUAAUCUGUAACUGAACUGUUUAUCAGAGACGCAGCUGCAGUUUAUUUGCUUUUCUAAUUCAUAAGGCAUGGCAAGUUUAUAAGUUUAUAUGUAUAGCACAUUUCAACAACAAGGCAAUUCAAAGUGCUUUACAUAAAAGCAACAAAAGGAAAUUGAAAAAAUAAAACACAUUAUGAAAAACGGGGUAAAACAGGACAGUAAAAGUUACAGUGCUGUGUACAAUCAGGGCACUGAAAAUCUGAAAACAAAGAAAAUGAAAACUGGACCUACAGUGUAAGUUAUCAAUCUACUAGUUAAAGGUAGCGGUGAAAAGAAAAGUCUUCAGUCUUAAUUUA